rnacentral:misc_RNA from 1 species
UUUUAAUUUCAUUCAAAUAAAACAAAGAGAGCAUAAGACUAGAAAUCUAACUAAACAAGGGUGGAGGUAUUCCAGGAGUGUUAAUAAGUGUUAUAGCAUCUUCCAUGGAAUUUAAACCCUAAAUCUUAAACGACAGAGGCCCAACGAUAUGUCUAAGAGUGUAUGAAUUAGAAAAGUUUUCGAUUAGCAUUGUGAAUAAUCUUGGCUUAGCAUUUCUUUGUAUGUGUUUAAGUACUGAUAAGAUUCAACAACCAAACACAACAAAUAAUGAACAGUGUUUUGCAUGUCUUUUAAUAAAUAUGCUCAGUUUUGAGGUUGAAAAUAAUAAUCAAGAACCAUUCACAUAAACCAUUAAAUAUCAAGCUCAACACAAUUAGCAAACAAUAUGGAAAUUUAAAGAGCUUAAGGAAAGAGAGAUUCAAAUACAGGAAUUUAUAGCAAUUCAACACAUAAGGCCUAAAUCUGUUACUCAAAGCUCCACUUAAGUACAUAAGGCCUUAGCAGCCACUAAUUUGCAUUUAUUGAAGACACUCACAAACAAAAGAGAGAAGUAAAAGAAGCUUGAAGGUAACAGAGCAUAUAAACCUGGUCUGAAUAAAGAAUAAUUCAUAGCACUUUCAGAUCAAAAAGAAACACGAAAUGAAAAAUGUGUAGCAGAAUGAAACACAUGUACUUUAAACUCAAAUCUUAUAGCAAAAUCAGCUAGUCUUAGACUUACAUUCUUGUGGCUAGGUGCACGAAAUUUCAUGCAGCGUCAAAGUAUGAUUUCAUUUAGUGUCAUCGAAGUAUGCUUCAAGAAAACUAUAUGAUCUUCAACAAGAAACAAUGGGAUCCUUCUAACACUAAUAAUUCAGUAAGGUUCACCUGCAAUAAAGUUAGUCACUACCAUGCUGUGCUAUGAGCGAACUCCAGCACUCAAACAGAUACAAGUUCUCUGUAAACUUUUCCAUCAUCUUUUUUCCUUUUUAAGACGAAACCUUAUCCAUGAACUGAGCUCGAACUCUCCAUCUACAUAACUUUUCAUGCUUCUCAUUAGUUGCAAGAGCCUUUCUUAACACUCAAACUUGGAAGUUGGUAGAUGGUACAUAUAGGGUAACACGACCUUUGCUUCUUGCACAUUUUUCAAUAAUAGAACCCAAAUCCUUCCUGCCUCUAUCUACCAGUCUUGGUUAUUGGAGCAAAUUCAUUAAGAGAUCUUCAAAUUUCAAUUCCCAAGAAUGGGAAUUGAUAGUGACUAUUUCCAUGCCUAUUAAGUGAAAGAGGGGCCUUGUAAAGGUCGACUUCGAAUUCAAUCUAUGACACAGGAACUGAGAGAACUCACAUGCAUGAGCCAGUAGCAGAUCUAGAACAUAUUUUUCAGAGCUCAACCUCCAAAUGGCAAAAACAUGGGUUCAUGUCCCACAUAAAAGGUAAAGGAUGCUCGAAUUCAGUACUAGCCAGCAGAAAGUAUCUCCUUUGCUAGUCUAUUGGCCUUGCACAGCUCCCCUCUUGAGCAGAGUGAAGCAAUUAAGGAAUAGUAAGAGUCAAAGAAUUCUAUUUCAGAUUUCCCCAAGUCAUCAUAUUUCUCAAUCUUUUUUCCGCCUUUCAUUACAUCACAAGCUGUAAAUCCCAAAUCAGUUCUCUCAUGUGAUACAGUUCUUGAAGCAAAUACAUCAAAAGCUUCCGAUUCAGAAAGUUUUUCCAGUUCUUGUGAUUCACAAGGACCAAACUUCUGAACUGGAAAAAACAUGGAUCCAACUUCAUUAAGUACAGUAACUGCUUCUUUGAUACUUCCUUGCUCACAUAAGAAAACAAGAAAACUUUGUAUAGACUCUGUUUCAACCGCAGUGUUGACUCUGUUCAACAUCUCCAUCACAGAUUGUGAUUGAAGCAUUUCUCUUAAGAUGCUCCUGGCCUCUUCCAUCCUCCCCUUGGCACACAGACCCCUCAUCAAGUGCAAGAAACCCAAGAAAUCAGGAUAAAUACUGUUCUGCUUACACUUGAAAAAGAAGUUUAGAGCCCCCUCCAAGUCACCCUUCUGACAAUAACCAUUAAUCAUUGAGCUAACAGUAAAUUCAUCAGGAUCAAGGUGUUCUAUUUCAAUAUUUUUCAGAAUCUCCAAGGCCUCUUCAAACUGACCAAAAUUGCAAUAACCGUUAAGAAAUGAAUUAUAGAUUCGUAUAUUCACUUUAUAGCCUUUAAGGGUCAUUCUCUCAAAUAAUUGCUUGGCAUCCAGCAAGUAUCCUUCCUUACAUAAAUUGUCAAUCAGUGUCGAGUAAGUGAUUUCUGAGGGAACCAAGUCAAUUCUUUCUAAUGAGUCAAAUAGCCGAAAUGCUUCAACAAAACAUCCCUGGUUGCACAACCCAUUUAUAAUUGAAUUAUAAGUGAUUAUAUUAAGAACAAUCCCCUUCAUUUCAGCAAAAGCACAGAUCUUUAACGCCUUAAUAGGAUGCCCAAUCUUGCAAAGUCCAUCAACCAUGAUAGAAUAAUCAACCACAUCCAUAACGGGUAGAUCAUCUUUAGCUCCCACAACAAGUUUAUAUGUAUCCAAAACACUACCAAAUUUUGCAAGUGCUCUUAAAGCACUGAUUGGAAGAGUGAUGGUUAUAUUGUUCUCCUUAAUCUUGUUGAGAAAAUAAAGGGCACUAUCAACAUCCUUCAAACACAGGUAAUGCAGUAGUAUCUUACUGACCUUAGGUUCAAAAAGGCCAUAUUCUUUUACAAAGCUACACAAAAAGGGCUGACUUUCCUGGAAUUUCCCAUCAUUGAAAAGCCCUCUUAUGGUCCAAUAGUAAGAUUUGCUGCUCAAUAUUGAUUUAUUCCUCCUUGCUAACUUGUAAAAUUCACUUGCACCCAUAAAGAAAUUCCUUUUGCACAACAAAUUGACAGCAUUAUAUACAUACAUUAAAGCUGAAUUGCCUUUGAAACAGUGAAGCAGCUCAAGUUGCGGGCUCCCUCAGUUCAUACACAGGAACUAAACAGUAGUAGGCAACCAAAAUUAACAAAGCAAAAUUCAGAAAAAAAAAGGGUGGGGGAACCUGAAAUUUUGAAGGCCUAUGCCAUUGUUAGCGAGAGGUAGAAGAGGACGACGAUGAUAUUGCUAAGUCCUGCCAGGUCGAAUUCAGGAUGGGUCAAAAUCAGACUCGAACCACCACAGAAGCGUGAAUAUGGGGAAAUUGAGAGGGUUUAGCAGGAACAGACUUCGAAAACAAAUAAAGGAAGACAAAUAUCAGAUGCGACGUAGUAAAGAAGUGUUAUUGGGUUUUGUUUGAGGCUGUAGACAGUGUUCGUUCCGCUCGCCGGCGCCGGAAAGUAGAGUAGUAACAGU